UAGCUACACUGAGUAGGUGGGAUUUUGUGCUCUGAACGAGAGGCUGUUGAAGUGGCAGUCUCCUGGGAGGGAUGCUCUUCUGUCCACGUUGCAUUACUCAGGGCUGCUCUGGGUUUUGACCGAUUUUUUUUUUCCCUCACAGUGGUGAUUUAUAGAGCAAAAUUUAGUAUCAUCCGUGGGCAGUUUGUCUCUUGGAUAGAACCACAUCUCUAAUUACUCUUUGCUCUGAUUUUUUUUUUUUUUUUAAGGAGGGUGGGGAGGGGCAGAGGGAGAGAGAAUCCCAAGCAAGCUCCAUGCCCAGUGUGGGGCCUGACACGAGGCUGGAUCUCAACAACCCUGAGAUCAUGGCCUGAGUGGAAAUCAAGAGUCGGAUGCUCAACCAACUGAGGCACCCAUUUGCUCUUGGGUUUGUUGCUUUGUGGGGGCGGGGGGAGUUAUUAUUGUUUUUUUUUUUUUUUUUUUUUUUUUUGCUAAGGCUUAAGAUACUGAAGGAUGAUGAUUAUUCCUGUGUGGAGGGCAAAACCACCUGUUGUAGAUCCUCAUGAAAUCCUCUUUGAAAAUGUUAGCAUAGAGAUGUAACAUGCAUAGAGCACAUUGAUAUAUGUGUGCACCCAGGAAGCCACCAUUCAGAUCAGUGUUCCAGAAGGCUCCUUGUGCCUUCUCUUACUCAGAAUGAAUGCCCUCAAGGUAACCAUUGCUAACCUGUAUCAGCACAGAUUAGUUUUCCCAGCUCAUAAAUUUUAUCAGAUCCUGAUAAGAGUCAUUUCUUUAGACAGACCUCCGCAUUCAGUACAUAUUUGCUGGUGGCUUUUCUUGAAAAGAUACAAUGAUUCUGUUCCAGGACUCCAGGAGCAGAGGCUGAGCCGCAGGACACAGCUAAGGUGGAACAGUCAUCACAAAAGGAGUGUGGGCAGCCCACAGGGCAAAUUCUUCCUGAGGUUCAGACCACACAAAAUCCAGCAAAUGAGCAAGAAAGUACAGGUAUGUGGUUGGGUAACAGGUUAG
rnacentral:lncRNA from 1 species